rnacentral:lncRNA from 9 species
GCCUUAGGUGGGUACCCAUAUCACUAGGUAACUCUUUGUUUCUCUCUCGCUGCCUUCAGCACCCUCUCUUUGUCUUUAACUUUCGCUGCUUUUGGGUUUGUUUUUUUCAGUGUGUCUUGGUGUGAGCCUGUUUGGGUUGGCCUGUGUGGGGGGCCCUGUGCACUUCCUGCCUCUUGAUGUAGUGUUCCUUUAGAUUUGGAAAGUUUUCAGGCAUCAUUGCGUCACAUACGUUUUGUUUCCUUCUCCAGGCUUGACUGUUAUCUUUGUUUCCAUUGCAGCUUGUUUGCCGUGCUCUGUCAGAUUUUGACUGGACAGCGUGCUGCCCCAGUUACACAUAGCUUGUUUGCCGUGCUCUGUCAGAUUUUGACUGGACAGCGUGCUGCCCCAGUUACACAUAGGUUUGUGCCUUCUUUUUGCUUAACUUAUCAUGCUUCCUCAGGCGUGACUAGACAGGGUGGCCAGUGCUCCCCAGCAGGAUCUCCUUGCUAAUCCAUUCCAAAGGCAAGAGUGUGUGUCUGUUAACCCUGAGUUCGCAAUGCAUCCCACUCCCUGGCCCUCCUCCUCCCUGGCAACCACAAGCCUAUUGUCCAAGUG